AGAAAGCGAAAGAAGAGCGUAUGGGGGAUGCCUAGGCUCUCAGAGAAGACGAAGGACGUGAUAAGCUGCGAAAAGCCUUGGGGAGAUGCAAAUGAUUGUUGAUCCGAG
rnacentral:rRNA from 1 species